GGGCCGUUAGCUCAGCUGGUAGAGCACUUCCAUGGCAUGGAAGGGGUCAUCGGUUCAAGUCCGAUACGGUCCA
rnacentral:tRNA from 1 species